rnacentral:rRNA from 1 species
AUUGAACGCUGGCGGCAGGCCUAACACAUGCAAGUCGAGCGGAGCGGCGGACGGGUGAGUAAUGACUCGGAAUCUGCCUGGCAGAGGGGGAUAACGUCCGGAAACGGGCGCUAAUUCAUAAUACUAUCAGAUGAGCCUACGUGGGAUUAGCUAGUUGGUGGGGUAAAGGCCUACCAAGGCGACGAUCCGUACCUGGUCUGAGAGGAUGAUCAGUCACACUGGAACUGAGACACGGUCCAGACUCCUACGGGAGGCAGCAGUGGGGAAUAUUGGACAAUGGGCGAAAGCCUGAUCCAGCCAUGCCGCGUGUGUGAAGAAGGUCUUCGGAUUGUAAAGCACUUUAAGUUGGGAGGCGUUACCAACAGAAUAAGCACCGGCUAACUUCGUGCCAGCAGCCGCGGUAAUUC